rnacentral:ncRNA from 1 species
AUCACCGGGGGUGCCCUUGUCGGGCUGAGAGAUACCCUAAGAACCUGAUCUGGUUAAUCCCAGCGGAGGGAGCGUG